rnacentral:tmRNA from 1 species
GGGGCUGAUUCUGGAUUCGACGGGAUUUGCGAAACCCAAGGUGCAUGCCGAGGGGCGGUUGGCCUCGUAAAAAGCCGCAAAAAAUAGUCGCAAACGACGAAAACUACGCUUUAGCAGCUUAAUAACCUGCUUAGAGCCCUCUCUCCCUAGCCUCCGCUCUUAGGACGGGGAUCAAGAGAGGUCAAACCCAAAAGAGAUCGCGUGGAAGCCUUGCCUGGGGUUGAAGCGUUAAAACUUAAUCAGGCUAGUUUGUUAGUGGCGUGUCCGUCCGCAGCUGGCAAGCGAAUGUAAAGACUGACUAAGCAUGUAGUACCGAGGAUGUAGGAAUUUCGGACGCGGGUUCAACUCCCGCCAGCUCCACCA